CUCACCAUUCAAGCUCAUGUAAGAUCAAUAAUUAGAAAAGAAGCAUAACCACAACCCCCCUGUAGCCAACCUUUCUGCAAAAACUGGACUACUUUCACUCAACCAGGUUAACGUAUAUAUUGCACAUCCAAUUUCCAGCUGGUUCCUGACUUGUUAGACAAGCAGUUAUACGUAGAUGGAGAUUUACACUGUUGCUGGUUAAUGACCACAGAAAUGUACUUUUGUUUUAAUCAGCAAGUUAAAGACAAGUGAGAUGCUGUAAUCCGCUGCCUGCUUUCCUACCUGGGAUAUUCAUCUCAGGAGCUCAUUGAAGACUACCAGGAUGUCAAGAGACCUGCUUAAAGACUGCUUCACCAAUUGUUGGGAAGAUCAUUGUACUGGGCAGUACUACAGAAGAGGAAGAUGCCAAAAUAGAUGGCCCCAUCAUUC